GGUGUCGUAGCUCAGUAGGUAAGAGCGCCGGACUGUCGAUCCGGAGGUCGCGGGUUCGAGCCCCGUCGACGCCG
rnacentral:tRNA from 1 species